CUACUUUUCCUUAAGCAAGGAGGGCUUUGUGCUGCACUAGGACUUGGAGCUUCCGUUGAUCGUCCCACGGGCCGGGACAACUGACAAGGUCUAUUUCCCUUAAAGACGUGACCCAGGAAAUUGGAAAAGUCUUUGCCCUUUCCUGAGGCAGCCCCCUGCAGCCUUCAGGAAAUUCCAG